AACGAACGCUGGCGGCAUGCCUAACACAUGCAAGUCGAACGAGACCUCCGGGUCUAGUGGCGCACGGGUGCGUAACGCGUGGGAACCUGCCCUUAGGUUCGGAAUAACUCCCCGAAAGGGGUGCUAAUAUCGGAUAACUUCUUCGGACCAAAGAUUUAUCGCCUUUGGAUGGGCCCGCGUUGGAUUAGCCAGUUGGUAGGGUAAAAGCCUACCACGGCGACGAUCCAUAGCUGGUCUGAGAGGAUGAUCAGCCACACUGGGACUGAGACACGGCCCAGACUCCUACGGGAGGCAGCAGUGGGGAAUAUUGGACGAUGGGCGAAAGCCUGAUCAAGCAAUGCCGCGUGAGUGAUGAAGGCCUUAGGGUUGUAAAGCUCUUUUACCCGGGAUGAUAAUGACAGUACCGGGAGAAUAAGCUCCGGCUAACUCCGUG
rnacentral:rRNA from 1 species